AUGAACUUGCAGCUGCAGCUAGUCAUGAAAAAGGAAGGCUCCUGCCACCACGUGCUGCGGGCUGGCCUCAUCACCCGCCAGGGCUUUGAGGAGUUUCUGAGGAAGGGCAGCAGCAGUGGGCAUCUGGUUCACCCAGACCUGUCAGCCACUGUCUUUGCGGGCUCACGUUUUCCUUAUCUCCUCCCGAAGCCACCAGCCGCACGGUGGGGUGGAGCGGCCCCUGAGUCAUGGAGGCCUGGGGUCUCCGCCUGGCCAAGAGGGCUGCGUGGCAAUUUCCACACCUGUGCACCAGGCCCCACUCAGAGGCAGGAGGUGGUGCGACCCCCUCUCCAGAGAGCUCAGAAGACGGCUCCGCCACACCUGACACCUGGCAGCCGCAGACCUGCCUCUAGGAAGCUUGGCUCUGGGCAGCUGUCCCUUCACCGGAGGGGCACUUACACUCCCGCCCCCACCUGUGUCCUGCCGGCUCCUAACCUGCCCCCCUCCAUGUGGCUGCAUCGGAGACGUGGGGCAGGCGCCACUCACGGAAAAAAGGCAUCAGAGGGGCUUCCACAUCAUCGGAACUUUUAUUCCUCAGGACGCUACACGCUCCCUUUCCUGGCGGGGCAGGUCAGUGCAUCGAGUUCUGUUUCCGUGGAAAAUGUGCACCUUGGAAACUGCGUGACAGCCCCACAGCAGGGUCCCCGCGGCCACCGCGAUGCAGGCUCAGCAGCAAGUUCCUCCAGCACGAAGCUGGCCUGCCCGGGCCCAGGUGUGAGGGACUGUUCUGCUCCCAGCAGUGCCUGCCGACGCUUCCCUCCGCGGUCUCAGCGCAAGCGUCUGUCCCUGGCUGCCCUCGGAGCCGUGCCCAGCCUGGCAUGCAUAUGCGGUGGUUAAGGAUACAGUUAAAGGGUCAAUCACGCAUGUCCACGACAGAGACGCAGCGGCCUCACACCGACUCCUCGGUGGACAGCAGUAAUGGGUUGAUGUACUCGAAGCCUUCGAACUCCGACUGGUCGAUCCUCUUUAUGGCAUCCCUGUGGGCAAAGGCGGCAGGGGGCGGGGGGGAUGACCUGUGUUCAUUCCCUCUGGGGAGGGGAGUCACAUUCGCAGAAGAAUCCUCCCCCAACGCCCACCGGAGAGAGGACACCAGGCGGGCGGGACUCAAGGGCAGGCCGGGUCACCAGCCGCCCAAGGUGCCGGCCUGCCAUGGGGCUGCCCGGGGGGGUGCUCCGGGGUUCCCGCACCCAGUGGGACUUACUCAUCGUCUGGGGUCAGCUGCACGGGCUCGCUGGUGAACUGUGUGUCAAAGUUGUCCAGACCGUAGUCGUCUGUGAUCUGUGGCUGGAAUGGAGGGAGCGCCUGCUUCUUCUCCAGCUUGCAAAAACAAGGCAAAAAGGGCCAGCUCCGCGCGGGCAUCAUCCCUACCAGACUGAGUGUUCUGCAUGCAGUUGAAUCCCAGAAUGAGACACUAAGAAACUCAGCGUUUCAAUCUGCCUAGUGUUUGAAUGCCAAGUGUUUCUUCUUAACAACACAAAAUCUAGAAAAUCUCCAAAGUCA